UACGUAGGAGACGAGCGUUGUCCGGAGUUACUGGGCGUAAAGGGUGCGUAGGCGGUCGCGCAAGUCGGAUGUGAAAUCUCGGGGCUCAACCCCGAAACUGCAUUCGAUACUGCGUGGCUAGAGUGCUGGAGGGGAGACUGGAAUUUACGGUGUAGCAGUGAAAUGCGUAGAUAUCGUAAGGAAGACCAGUGGCGAAGGCGAGUCUCUGGACAGCAACUGACGCUGAGGCACGAAGGCCAGGGGAGCAAACGGG
rnacentral:rRNA from 1 species